rnacentral:rRNA from 1 species
GUGUAGGCGGGGCGGCAGGUGCCUUGCGAAAGCCCCGGCUCAACCGGGGAAUUGCAGGGCAAACCGCCGCUCUUGAGGCAGGUAGGGGCAAGUGGAACUAUGGGUGGAGCGGUGAAAUGCGUAGAUAUCCAUGGGAACGCCUGUGGCGAAAGCGGCUUGCUGGGCCUGGCCUGACGCUGAGACCCGAAAGCGUGGGUAGCAAACA